GUGGGAGAUUAACAGCGGUGCUGAAUAAAUAGGGCACAGGUUUCACGAGAGGCACUCGCCUAUCUUGCUGGGACCACUCGUGGGGAUUUCUUGUCUCUUGUCCCUCCUGCACCGUGUUGCAGAACGUUACAGGGUCUGUGGCGUUUCGUGGGGUUGCUGUUCGGUUCCCCUUGCCUGUGCGGCCCAAUAUCCCAGCUGUCGUGAGCUUCUCUCCUCGUCUUCCUGGCCUGCUCGUCCAAUCUCUGCUAGCUGUCAAGUUGGACUACUUGCUCGAGGCUUCUGCUCGGGGUGCCUGCGUGUGUAUUUGAAUGCUAGUGCAUGUCGUGGUGUUUGGGUGCUUCUCGUUGUUUUGUCGUUUUGUUUGUAUGUUUGUAUGCUAGAAUAAGCGUUGGUGGCUCUGUCGCUUGCUGGCUUCCUCCCCUGCUUGUGGCUAAAUGUAUCCCGCUCUAGUUGUGUAAUUCCCUUUUUUUUUUUAAUGCGUGUGCAGUGUUAUUUUCAUAGUUUGGUUAAGUUUAUAUCUUGUGAUUUGCAGUGAAAAAAGCAUGUUUUGUUUUUGUACAGGGAUUUUUCACCAAGGAAGUAGGGCAUUCGUCGGGGUAAGCAAGGUAGCUUGAAUAGGAAGUCACCUUGCAUACUUGUGGAUCCAUGAAUUGCUAUACUCUGUGUAUUUGAAGGUAGACAAAUAAAUUAUCUUUUGUAUCAGAU
rnacentral:lncRNA from 1 species